rnacentral:ncRNA from 2 species
ACGGGCAACUCUGGAGAGAGGUCGCAGAUGUCAUGCGGCCCGCCGAAGGUGAUACCGGAUCUGCUACCCGGGAAACUCUCAGGCACCAAGGACAGAGGGGACCCU